GACGAACGCUGGCGGCGUGCUUAACACAUGCAAGUCGAACGAAGAGCGACGGAAGCUUGCUUCUAUCACUCUUAGUGGCGAACGGGUGAGUAACGCGUAAUCAACCUGCCCUUCAGAGGGGGACAACAGUUGGAAACGACUGCUAAUACCGCAUACGAUCUAACCUCGGCAUCGAGGAUAGAUGAAAGGUGGCCUCUACAUGUAAGCUAUCACUGAAGGAGGGGAUUGCGUCUGAUUAGCUAGUUGGAGGGGUAACGGCCCACCAAGGCGAUGAUCAGUAGGCGGUCUGAGAGGAUGAACGGCCACAUUGGGACUGAGACACGGCCCAGACUCCUACGGGAGGCAGCAGGGGGGAAUCUUCCGCAAUAGACGAAAGUCUGACGGAGCAACGCCGCGUGAGUGAUGACGGCCGUCGGGUUGUAAAGCUCUGUUAAUCGGGACGAAAGGCCUUCUUGCGAAUAGGGAGAAGGAUUGACGGUACCGGAAUAGAAAGCCACGGCUAACUACGUG
rnacentral:rRNA from 1 species